GUCUACGGCCAUACCACCCUGAACGCGCCCGAUCUCGUAUGAUCUCGGAAGCUAAGCAGGGUCGGGCCUGGUUAGUACUUGGAUGGGAAGAAAUCUGAUGUAUGUGUAAU
rnacentral:rRNA from 1 species